rnacentral:rRNA from 1 species
UACGUAGGGACCGAGCGUUGUCCGGAAUUAUUGGGCGUAAAGCGCGCGUAGGCGGUCCGUUAAGUCGGAUGUGAAAUCCCAGGGCUCAACUCUGGAACUGCAUCCGAUACUGGCGGACUUGAGGAAGGUAGAGGAGAGUGGAAUUCCCGGUGUAGCGGUGGAAUGCGCAGAUAUCGGGAGGAACACCAAUGGCGAAGGCAGCUCUCUGGGCCUUUCCUGACGCUGAGGUGCGAAAGCGUGGGUAGCAAACAGG